CAAUAGCGUAUAUUUAAGUUGUUGCAGUUAAAAAGCUCGUAGUUGGAUUUCGGUUAAGAGCGACCGGUCCGCCGUUUGGUGUGCACUGGUUGGUUUUAACUUCCUGUAGAGGACGUGCUCUGGGUUUAACGACCUGGACUCGGAGUCUACGUGGUUACUUUGAAAAAAUUAGAGUGUUCAAAGCGGGCUUACGCUUGAAUAUUUCAGCAUGGAAUAACACUAUAGGACUCCUGUCCUAUUUCGUUGGUCUCGGGACGGGAGUAAUGAUUAAGAGGAACAGUUGGGGGCAUUCGUAUUUCAUUGUCAGAGGUGAAAUUCUUGGAUUUAUGAAAGACGAACUUCUGCGAAAGCGUUUGCCAAGGAUGUUUNCAUUA
rnacentral:rRNA from 1 species